GAUGAACGUUGGCGGCGUGCCUAACACAUGCCAGUCGAGCGGCAGCGAGGGGUGCUUGCACCCUGUCGGCGAGCGGCGGACGGCUGAGUAACGCGUGGGAACGUGCCCCAAAGUGAGGAAUAACUGCCCGAAAGGGUAGCUAAUACCGCAUAUUAUCUUCGGAUCAAAGGAUUUAUCCGCUUUGGGAGCGGCUCGCGUCGGAUUAGGUAGUUGGUGAGGUAAUGGCUCACCAAGCCGACGAUCCGUAGCUGGUCUGAGAGGAUGACCAGCCAGACUGGAACUGAGACACGGUCCAGACUCCUACGGGAGGCAGCAGUGAGGAAUCUUCCACAAUGGGCGAAAGCCUGAUGGAGCAACGCCGCGUGCAGGACGAAGGCCUUCGGGUUGUAAACUGCUUUUAUAAGUGAGGAAUAUGACGGUAACUUAUGAAUAAGGAUCGGCUAACUACGUG
rnacentral:rRNA from 1 species